GGGUUGUGAGGUUAAGCGACUAAGCGUACACGGUGGAUGCCCUGGCAGUCAGAGGCGAUGAAGGACGUGCUAAUCUGCGAUAAGCGUCGGUAAGGUGAUAUGAACCGUUAA
rnacentral:rRNA from 1 species